rnacentral:rRNA from 1 species
UACCAGCACCCCGAGUGGUCGGGACGAUUAUUGGGCCUAAAGCAUCCGUAGCCGGUUCUACAAGUCUUCCGUUAAAUCCACCUGCUUAACAGAUGGGCUGCGGAGGAUACUAUAAGACUAGGAGGCAGGAGAGGCAAGCGGUACUCAGUGGGUAGGGGUAAAAUCCGUUGAUCCAAUGAAGACCACCAGUGGCGAAGGCGGCUUGCCAGAAUGCGCUCGACGGUGAGGGAUGAAAGCUGGGGGAGCAAACCGG